GAGAUAGGAUCUCAUGAAAUAUUUGCCUGGGGCUGACUUUGAACCAUGAUCCUCCUGAUCUCUGCUUCCGUAUGUAGCUAGGAUUAUAGAUAUGAGGCACUUGGCACCUGGCAUGUGGUUAUAAAUUUAAAGGGAGAUUAGUCAGUAUGUUUUUUACAUAUUUAUCUGCAGGUAUGUAUGUUUGGGGUGGAUUUAACUAGAGACUGGGUUUCAUCAAGAUACUAGAACAAAGCAAGAGGAGCAUUAUAUGCAAGGAGUGAUUCUGAUAUACUGUGGAAUUUGAACCAGCUAAGGAAGGAGGGAGGGGAGAAAUGAAGUGGCAGGAAAUGGGGAGAAGAUGAGUCAGUGGAUUGAAGGUCCUGCUGGAGUCAAAAGCUAUUGCGGUUUGAGUACAUGAGAGAUACUAGGUCAAAACUUUCCCAAACUUCUACUGCCAAAUCAAUCCAUUUACCUGAUGAAUGCAUUUGGGGUAUAACUUGAAGAGUAAACCAAAAGGAAAUUGGAAAUAUAUUUGAUGUAUAUUUAAUGUACUUGUUUUCAGGAAUACAUGAUGGGAUACAACACUUGAGAUUGUGAGGGCUUGGUUAUGAGCUGUGUGGGUAAAGAACAAAGUCAUUGGAAGUGAGAAAUUUAAAGAAGAGAGACGAGUUCAGAGUGACCACCUGUGUGAAAUCACUAAAUCACUUAGACUUAAGUUGAGUAGUGUUGUAGUCUCACAGUAAGCCAGAAAAUACUUUUCAUUAGGGUAUUCAAAGCAUAGGUGGCUUUGAUUUUUAAUUUUUAUUUUACUUACUUAUUUUUUUAGUGGUACUGGGGAUUGAAUUCAGGGUCUUAGCCUUGCUAAGUAAGUAUUGUAGCACUUGAGCUUUGCCCCCAGCCUCCAAAGCAUAGAUUUCUUUUUAGGGAGGAAGGAAGGAGACUGACUUGAAGAAUCUGCAAGGAGCGGAGGACACUUACUCCGUCUGCUCGUGUGAGGAGUGUGGGAAAGAUUGCUCUUACCAUUUUAGGGCUGGGGGAGAUACAGCUCUUAGAGGAGGGCAAGAAGUUGAAGGACGUGUUCAGAGAAGAUGUGGGAAAUUUAGGGCACAGUACAAGGGUUUCAAAAUUUGGGGAGAGGUGGGUGAGACGUGGGGAAAGCGUCAUAGAUACGCAGAACAGCGUGGCGUUAGAAUGUGAGAGAUGAGAGAUAGGAAGUCUGCAACUUCUUUUGAUGGACAGCAUAAAAAAGCUGAGGAGUAUGAAGAGAUUCCGGGCAGAUAGAGAAGACAGGGUCUUAUUAUGUUGCCCUGGCUGUUCUCAAAUUACUGGCCUCCAGGGAUCUUCUCAUCUAAGACGAAUCUCCUGGAAAAAAGAGACAUGACUAUCUGCAAUGAUACUUCCUGACAAGAAGUUGAUACAAGAAAAGAAAAGGAAAUUAAAAUCUAAUGAGCAGAAUUUUGAACAAGCAAGAUUUUGUAUUUAUUGCUUCCAACUACAAACUCCUGUUGCCUACUUUUAAAUUAGCAGUACUCUCAGAACCCAGACAAAGCAAAAAGAUAUUUUUCUUCUGUAAUUUUUUGUGAACAAAGAAACUGCAAUGUCUAGGAAACAAAGCCAGAAGGAUUCAUCAGGAUUCAUUUUUGAUUUGCAGUCAAAUACUGUACUGGCCCAGGGAGGAACUUUUGAAAACAUGAAAGAGAAGAUAAAUGCAGUACGUGCAAUAGUUCCUAAUAAGAGCAACAAUGAAAUCAUCCUGGUUUUGCAGCACUUUGAUAAUUGUGUGGACAAAACAGUACAAGCAUUCAUGGAAGGUAGUGCCAAUGAAGUGCUCAAAGAAUGGACAGUAACAGGCAAGAAAAAGAACAAAAAGAAGAAAAGCAAACCAAAACCUGCAGCAGAAGCAAGUAACUGUAUCCCAGACUCUAGUAAAUCAGUUUCCACUCAAGAGGAGCAGUCUGCACCUCCCUCAGAGAAAGGUGGCGUUAAUGGUUACCAUGUUAACGGUGCCAUCAACGAUGCCGAGUCUGUGGACUCACUCAGUGAAGGUUUGGAGAUACUUUCAAUAGAUGCCAGAGAAUUAGAAGAUCCUGAGUCUGCCAUGCCAGAUAGAUUGGACAGAACAGGAUCCACGCUGGAGAAUGGUGUCCCAGAAUCUGUACCCAAGUCUUUGACUAUGCGCUCUAUUCAGAAUGCUCAACAAUCCAGGAAUGCUGCUAGAUCUCUCUCAAGACACACCACAGGAUCUCAGUUUUCAAAUCUGGGGGUGGAGGAUAUUCCACCUUCCUCUACCAGUAAAAGACUAGGUUCCAAUAUUGAAAAGUCAGUAAAAGACCUCCAGCGCUGUACGGUGUCUCUUGCACGAUAUCGAGUUGUAGUUAAAGAAGAGAUGGAUGCUUCCAUUAAGAAAAUGAAACAAGCCUUUGCUGAAUUGCAGAGCUGGUAUUCCAAAUGCUGCUAGAGUUCUUGGAGCAAACUAUUGCCAAGUUUAAUGGAUCGAGAAGUAGCAUUGCUUGCUGAAAUGGACAAAGUGAAAGCUGAAGCCAUGGAAAUUUUACUCAGCCGGCAAAAGAAAGCAGAACUUCUAAAGAAGAUGACUGAUGUGGCUGUCCGAAUGUCAGAGGAGCAAUUGGUUGAACUCAGAGCUGAUAUCAAGCACUUUGUUAGUGAACGGAAAUAUGAUGAGGAUCUAGGACGGGUAGCCCGAUUCACCUGUGAUGUAGAGACUCUGAAGAAGAGCAUUGAUUCAUUUGGACAAGUGUCCCAUCCAAAGAACAGCUAUUCAACCAGAUCCCGGUGUAGCUCAAUUAUAUCUGCAUCUUUGAGUGGCCAAAGUGACUCCUCUGCUGCUCCCUCUUCCUCCUGUGCCUCUUCUCCCAGCCUUAUAGGUGCUAAUAAGAGAAACUCUGCUCCAGGAGAGACUCCUGCAACCACAACAAACUCUAACAGCCGGCCUUACCAGCUUCAUCGGGAGAUAUUGCCGGGGAACAGACGAGGAGGACAAGGCUAUCGGCCACAAGGCCAAAAGUCCAAUAACCCCAUGAACCAAGGACGACAAGACAGUGUGGGUCGUUGCAAAAAUGGCUCAUGGUAUUCAUCUGGUUCCCGGUAUCAAAGUACUCCAUCCCAGACACCAGGAAAUAGUAGUGAUUGGAGCCACGCUCCCUCUACAGGGACCAAUGGAGCUGGAGCCAGCAUGGAACCUAGCCUACCCAAGCCCUCACUCAAAAAGGGGCUUCCCCAGCGCAAACCCAGGACCUCUCAGCCUGAAGCUGUGAACUCUUGAGAGAAAUUCCAGUUGACUUCUCUCUUCUAUCCCACACAAUUCAACCUGACAACUGGACUUUAGGAAACAUAUACUUAGAGUUAAUAACAAAAAGAAGUUUAUGCAUAUCACUUUUUUGUGCCAUUCUAAAUAUUUUUGGUUUCUUCUCUCCUUAUUUCCUCUUUAUCAUUUUUGGAAGGGAAACUGUUUUUUUUCCUUGACAUUUGUCAAUAAUACGGACUGAUUCUGAUUGGUCGUUUUUACCAGAAAUCGGGCAGCUAUUGCCAGGCUUCCCAAGGGUUAUCAGCAUUCUUCCUAGUGCAUCUGGUCUUCCAACUGCCCAAAGAGGCCUUACUCAGCAAGCCCCCACUGUCAAAGCUGUCUUAAAGGAAGUUGGUCAGAGCUAGUCUUGUUACCUUUUCAGUCUAAGCAGAAACUUGCCAGGUCCCCAAACUGUCAAAUGACAGUUUGACCAGAAGCAGCAAUGAGGGGAUUUUAUACUGUACUGGAUUAGCCAGAAAAGGAGAAUAAAUGUUAAUUGAUAAAAAGGAGAAACCAUUAGGAAAAAUUUGAGAAUCUGCCUCUAUCUCAGAAUAUGCCUGAGAUUUGACCUUUAAAUCAGGGUUUCAUUCCCCUGCUUGGCAUCAUAGCUUUCCCUGCAGCUUCUUCAAAAUGCCCAAAGCCUUGUUUCUUGUUACCUUAGGCUAUACUUUAGGGCUGCAAAGUAGUCUAAGGAAGUGUUUGGGAAAGUCACAUUUAAUUAAAGUUUUUAAAAAGUUAAUAAAGUAUUGCAUUGUUUCAAUGUUUGGAGAUUUUUGUUGUUGUUCUCCUUUCUCCUGUUCUGAUCUUGAACCAAAUUUAUAGCAAUAUAAUUAAUGUUAAUCUGAGGUGUAACCCACCAAAAAAUUGCUGCAGUAAUUCUUUAUAGAUAAUAAAGGCAACUGCGUAAAUGUUCCCACAUUUGUUUCACAGCACAAGUGACUUCAUUAUCUGUUUCUCUUUGGGCCUCAUGGGGUCACUCAGACAGCUUGUUCUGUGCUUAAAUGCGGGUGUCUGAUUCCCAAGUCAUUUGUCUGCUGCUGCUUUGCUUCAGGACCAAAUUAAAAUGUGAAAGCCACAAUGAGCAAAUGCAGCUGUUCCUUGUGGGAAACGAUCCAUAGGAUAGGGAAUGGUGAUUUUCAAAGGAGGACUUACCAGUUUAGAAAAACCACAGCUGCCAGCCAUUCUCCCAGGCAACCAAAGGUUAUAUUGGCACCCCUCUUCCCCAUUCCCUGUCCCUUGACAGAAGUAGUGAAUGUAACCAUAUAAUUGAGCUCCUGCAUGUAGCAGGUGGCACUAGUGCCAGACACCUCCUCCCCACCCCACUCCCAGCAUGUAUGGUUUAAUAACAGCGGUACUUUUCCUUCCUCCAGCAUGUGCUCUCUCUCCCAAGGCUUGACUGCAAGUGGCAGCGGUGCAGAACGCAGUUGCCUCAGGGCUUUCCCUGGCUCUUUGGCUGAAGCUGAACUGCCAGGGUUCAGGUUGGUUGAACAGACUGUGUGAGAGAAACAGUAGUACUAGGGAGGCCAUUUUCCAAAGGGCUGAACACCUCAUUUUGGGGAAUUUGUCCAACAACACCAUCAGCCUGCUAGGUGUCAGGAAAAAGCUUUCCUGAUUAAUUGCUUACCUCUACUUUAUAGGAAAUCCAGAGACUUAGGCAACCUUGAAGGAUUUAAGAGGUAUAUCCCUGUAUCAAGCCAAACUGUAUUUAACCACCCAGACAGAUGGAAAGCCACGUUUGCCAAAAAUGCUUUGAAGCCAAGCACGGGUGGUUCAUGCCUAUAAUCCUGGCUACCUGGAAGGCAGCUGUGUUCACUGCUAUUCCACCAAUGCAUCCUGGCUUCUUGGGAGGUGGAGAUCAGGAGGGUGGAGGUUUGAGGCCAACCCAGGCAAAUAGUUUGUAAGACCUCAUCUCAGCCAAUAAAAAAAUGUGGGCACAGUGGCAAAUGCCUGUCCCUGUCAUCAAGCAACUUGGGAAACAUAAGUAGGAGGAUUACAGUUCAGGUUGGUCUGGGCAGUAAAUGCCAAGACCCUAUUCAAAAAGUAAAAUGGAGGGCUGGGAGCAUGACUCAAGUGGUAGAGUGCCUGCCUAGCAAGCAUGAAGGUCUGAGUUCAAACCCCAGUAAUGCCAGAAAAUAUUCAUCAUAAAAUCUCAUCAUAGGAAAAUAUACUUGGAGAGUUUUUACGACCAUAAUGACUUUUAUCAAUUAUGAAGGUUCCCCCCGACACACUAUUUUUUUUAAAUUAC